rnacentral:rRNA from 1 species
GGCGGCAGGCCUAACACAUGCAAGUCGAGCGGUAACAUUUCUAGCUUGCUAGAAGAUGACGAGCGGCGGACGGGUGAGUAAUGCUUGGGAAUAUGCCUUAGGGUGGGGGACAACAGUUGGAAACGACUGCUAAUACCGCAUAACGUCUACGGACCAAAGGGGGCUUCGGCUCUCGCCCUUAGAUUAGCCCAAGUGGGAUUAGCUAGUUGGUGAGGUAAUGGCUCACCAAGGCGACGAUCCCUAGCUGGUUUGAGAGGAUGAUCAGCCACACUGGAACUGAGACACGGUCCAGACUCCUACGGGAGGCAGCAGUGGGGAAUAUUGCACAAUGGGCGCAAGCCUGAUGCAGCCAUGCCGCGUGUGUGAAGAAGGCCUUAGGGUUGUAAAGCACUUUCAGUAAGGAGGAAAGGUUAGUAGUUAAUACCUGCUAGCUGUGACGUUACUUACAGAAGAAGCACCGGCUAACUCCGUGCCAGCAGCCGCGGUAAUACGGAGGGUGCGAGCGUUAAUCGGAAUUACUGGGCGUAAAGCGUACGCAGGCGGUUUGUUAAGCGAGAUGUGAAAGCCCCGGGCUCAACCUGGGAACUGCAUUUCGAACUGGCAAACUAGAGUAUGAUAGAGGGUGGUAGAAUUUCAGGUGUAGCGGUGAAAUGCGUAGAGAUCUGAAGGAAUACCGAUGGCGAAGGCAGCCACCUGGGUCAAUACUGACGCUCAUGUACGAAAGCGUGGGGAGCAAACGGGAUUAGAUACCCCGGUAGUCCACGCCGUAAACGAUGUCUACUAGGAGCUGGGGUCUUCGGACAACUUUUCCAAAGCUAACGCAUUAAGUAGACCGCCUGGGGAGUACGGCCGCAAGGUUAAAACUCAAAUGAAUUGACGGGGGCCCGCACAAGCGGUGGAGCAUGUGGUUUAAUUCGAUGCAACGCGAAGAACCUUACCUACACUUGACAUACAGAGAACUUACCAGAGAUGGUUUGGUGCCUUCGGGAACUCUGA